CAAUAGCGUAUAUUAAAGUUGUUGCAGUUAAAAAGCUCGUAGUUUGAUUUCUGGACGGGCGCCAACACCCGCUUGUUAGUGUGGAGGCGGCACCCGCCCAUCCUUCUGUUAACGCCGCCGGCAUUUGUUUGCUGGUGGCGGGCUCAGAUAUUUUACCUUGAGAAAAUUAGAGUGUUCAGGCAGGCUUGCGCCUAGAUACAUUAGCAUGGAAUAAUAAGAUAGGACUUUGGUGCUAUUUUGUUGGUUUGUACACCGAGGUAAUGAUUAAUAGGGACAGUUGGGGGUAGUUCGUAUUUUAAUUGUCAGAGGUGAAAUUCUUGGAUUUAUGAAAGACGAACUACUGCGAAAGCAUUUACCAAGGAUGUUUUCAUUAAUCAAGAACGAAAGUUAGGGGAUCGAAGACGAUCAGAUACCA
rnacentral:rRNA from 1 species